AUUGCCACUGCCUACUACAUGCUUUCCUAAUCUCUUAGCUAGAUUAUUGCAAUUGCCUCCCACUCCCAAUAUAUCCUUCUCACUACCUUCCAAGAGUGCUUUCUUACUAGAAAAUCAGUUUAUGUUGGUCUCUUGCUUAAAAUUUAUUAUUGGCUACCUAGAGCCUUUAUGUUUAUGUUUCUCUGCAUAACCUAAAACUCUUCCUUCUUGUGUUAUCUCAGUUCUCACCUUUAUCUUCCACAUAGCCAAGUCUUUCUGAGUUACUGGCUAUUUCCCCAAAUGUCUCAUGUUCUAGUAUGCAUUUAUGCCUUUGUACCCUUACUCCCUCUGGCUGGAAGGACUUCAUUUUGUCUGCUUGAAAACAUGCUAGUCAUUCUUACAUUUCACCUGCUGUUUGACCUUACCUUUAAAUCUUCACUGACUAUCAGGCAAAUUUAGAUAUUCCCUACUUUGUAUCUCCUCUCUUCCUUGCACUUACUUCCAUUUACUUUCUGUCAUUCUUUUUCCCCCACUUAAUUGUAAGUCCUUUAAAGCAAGGAUCAUGUCUUUAUGUCUUCAUAGUCUAAGUGCCUAACAAUGGUUGGCACCUAAUAGGUAUGCAUUUAAAUACAGACUAAAAGGCAAUAAAAUAAAAGCAAACACAUACUUGCCCUUAUAUGAUAUCUUAGCCAGGUUUCUCCAGCAGGCAAAACUAGAUGAAAAAGAAAUCAUGCAUCCCUACUUUAUCAAUAAGUGUAAUUCCAGAGAACCAAUGAAUGAAGGAGGAGGCUUUUGAAAUAGGAAAGGCAGGAAAGUCAAUAUGGCUGGUAGAUCAUGAGCUGGUUACUAUAAUUGAUUGCUUUUCUGCAUAGAGUUGUCAUUUGAGAGACCAUAUUGCAUUAUAAUGAGGUCCAUACCAAUGACAGAAGGGAGAAUAAUACAUCUACUGGCUCUCAACUCUCAUUAGACAAAGUAUUCUCUGUGGAACAUUAAUCCUCAUCCACUUCCAACAUAUAUGGAAAUGGGUGUUGAACAGGUUAUGUAGCACUUAAUGCAUCAAGACAACAAAAAUCUCUGGAGCAAGAGGAAAGAGGCAUGUGACAGUGGCAUGAAGCAAGAAGUUGUCAUAUUGUGACUGGAACAAAAUGAAUGGACAAGGGGCCAAAGAAAGUUGUGCCUGGGAAGAUCUGAAGCAGUGUGCAAGAGUUCUCUGAUACAGCCCAACUCUUGAACCACUCCAAUACCCUUUUACUCUAUUCAUGUCUGGUUCCCGUUCUACAGUAAAGCCUUUUUUGGGGGUUGGGGGGGGGACAGAGUUUCACUCUUGUUGCCCAGGCUGGAGUGCAAUGGCACGAUCUCGGCUCACUGCAACCUCUGCCUCCUGGGUUCUAGCGAUUCUCUUGCCUCAACCUCUUGAGUAGCUGAGAUUACAGGCACACACCGUCAUACCCGGCUAAUUUUUGUAUUUUUAGUAGAGAUGGGGUUUCAUGUUGGUAAGGCUGGUCUCGAACUCCUGACCUCGUGAUCCACCCACCUUGGCAUCCCAAAGUGCUGGGAUUACAGGCAUAAGCCAAAUGCUUCCGUUUUUAAGAGAAAAAUAUAACCCCCACUUCCCCCAAGAUGAUAUGAUAUGAGUUUAAAUAGCUGACUAGCCAUAGCCUCUGAAAUGUUUUAAUGCAAAUGAAAUAAGCCAUACUCCCUGAUAUUGCAGCUGAUCCUGAAGACACAUCUGAGUUUCAUCAUCUUCCUCCUAUACUCUCCAAACAGAGUGACAUCACCUUCACCAGCACUUUGUUCUUUGGUCAGAUUGAAUAACACAUCCUCAUGGAAUAAGCACCAGCCACACUGCAGUCUACCAAUAUGCCUUGCACACUUGCACAAAUGCUGCCAGAGUGACAUCCCUGCUGGGUCGACUGAAUACCAUCUCAUUUCUCACUUACACAAUCAAUGAUUCCUUCUCUUCUUCCCUUCUGCAUGGACACUUUGCUGAACAUAGUUUUGUUUUUGCUGGCCUGACUAGAAAAAAAAAAAAAAGACUUGUUUAGGCUCUUUCCUAGGCUGAUGCAUCUGGCCUCCUUGAAUGGCAUUCAUUAGAACCAGGCACCAAGAUAAUAAUACACCGAAGCCAGUGAUGCCAGCCUUUCUCUCUUUGACCAAUUACCUCCUGGACCUUGUUCAAAUGGAAACCAAACCACCCUGAAUAACUUUACUCAUUUGUAGAAGUUAGGAAAAUACAUGAGAAGCUACAAAUAAAACCUCAGAGUUCUUUUUUUGGACGUUAUAAAGAGAUGUUCAUUCUAACUAUAUAAUAUCAGCAUUUUCUUAUGCCAUUAUUUGUCAGCACUGCAGAGCAGAGAAUGAGUUUUAUACAGAUAUUCAAAGUGAUAGUGUAUAAAGUAUUGAAAGUUUAGGGCAUAUAUUUAUAUCCUCAACUGUAGGAUAACCUGAUGGUCAUUAAAUUAAAGUCUAGGGCUAUAGUAAUAUUGGAUUAAGAGAGAUUUCUGAACUGUUAUAUCAAUCAAAGUUAUACGAAUUUGAUGAUUAGUGGCUAUAUCACUCAGACAAUUAUCACAAUAUAAUUCUGUAAUGAAUAACAAUAAAAAUAAAGCGUAGUAUUAUGAUACUCAUAUAGGAUGCCCGAUUAUUAUUUUUUCAGUACAACAUGGUAACUGGAAAAUAAACACAGUAAAGAAAUAGAGUUAUUAGCAACACUACAAAACCAGAUUGUGAAUGAGUCAAAAUGUCAGAGUGAUGAUAAGUGUUUGUGGAAAGCAGCUGGAGAUCCUAAUUAAAUCAUAGUUUACACACUUUGAUAGUACUGAUUUCUGACAUUGACAUGUAUACAAAACAUACCAUAUGGUUGCCAUUUUAUAGGCAUAUUUUUACAUAUAUGUUUGUAUGCAUAUAUAGAUAUACAUAUAAGCAUAGAUGUAGACCAAAACUCCUCAUAAAAAGCUUAGCACAACUUUAAAUAAUUUUACACCAACCAUAUAAUCUUUGUUAACUGAUAUUCUGCUAAUCAUAUCUUUCUUUUAAUUGGUGUUUCAGAACAUGUACAGUAACAUUAUGUUUAAUGAUAUUGUAGGAUAGCUUAACAAUUUAAAAAUGGAUUUUGGAGUUAUUGCUUAGAAACCAAAGAAAGGAAAUUAUUUGAGAACUACAAUAGGGUUUCACCAGAAUAUUCCAUUUUUAACAACACCAGGUAACAAGGAGUUAGUAUUUUUAUGUUAGUCAUACAUUUACUUAUGUUCACUGAUAUCUGCCUUUUAUCUCAAUUAACUUAUAAACUUCUCAAGGACAGGGCAUUUGUUAAAAAUAUUUGUUUCUAUGUCUGGUUAUGGUCUUUCAAUAUAGACUGAAGGUUCAUCUCAAAUGAUAAAUGUAACAUGAAAUCACCUCAUAGAUUGUGCUAAUUUAGAUACUAUUCUGUGUUAGCUGUGGUAGCUCAAUUAAGCUGUACACCCAGUGCCAUAGGCAACAGACAUCCAAGUGUUAGGUCUACCCAGAAGUAAAAGGAUCAGGAGCUACUCACAUAUUGGAGAAGAAUCUCAUCAACCAUGAGCUUGGCACACAUGAAUAAGUAAGUCAUUGUAAAACUUUGUUAAAAACGUUUUAAUUUUGUUCAAAUGUUUUAAGUGUUUAGAGAAAAAAAGUUUUGGUUCCUAAAGAGAACUACAAUAAAACAAA
rnacentral:lncRNA from 10 species